CCUACGGGAGGCAGCAGUGGGGGAUAUUGCACAAUGGGGGAAACCCUGAUGCAGCGACGCCGCGUGUGGGAAGACGGUCCUCUGGAUUGUAAACCACUGUCCCCAGGGACGAAAUUGACGGUACCUGGGGAGGAAGCUCCGGCUAACUACGUGCCAGCAGCCGCGGUAAUACGUAGGGAGCGAGCGUUGUCCGGAAUUACUGGGUGUAAAGGGAGCGUAGGCGGGGAUGCAAGUUGGGUGUCAAAACUACCGGCUCAACUGGUGGACGCACUCAAAACUGCAGCUCUUGAGUGAAGUAGAGGAGGGUGGAAUUCCUAGUGUAGCGGUGAAAUGCGUAGAUAUUAGGAGGAACACCAGUGGCGAAGGCGGCCUGCUGGGCUUUUACUGACGCUGAGGCUCGAAAGUGUGGGGAGCAAACAGGAUUAGAUACCCGGGUAGUC
rnacentral:rRNA from 1 species